rnacentral:rRNA from 1 species
AACGUAGGAGGCAAGCGUUAUCCGGAGUUACUGGGCGUAAAGCGCACGCAGGCGGUCGAUUAAGUUUGGAGUGACAGUUGGUGGCUUAACUGCCAAAGUGCUUCGAAAACUGAUCGACUUGAGGGCUUCAGAGGGACACGGAAUUCCGGGUGGAGUGGUGAAAUGCGUAGAGAUCCGGAGGAACACCGAAGGCGAAGGCAGUGUCCUGGGGAGUACCUGACGCUCAGGUGCGAAAGCCAGGGGAGCGAACGGG